rnacentral:misc_RNA from 1 species
GGGCAACCGCUUUGAGAAUUCAACAGAAGAGUCUAUCACAGAAAAAUAGUCUCAACUCCACGCUGCUCACCGUGGAGCUCCUAAACUUUCAAUGCAAGCCUAUGUUCUACUAACUUUUUUAAGCCACUUGGUAUGCCAUCAAAUACCAAAUAGAGAUGGGAAGAUGAAAAAACCUCCAUCCAGCCAAGGGGAAAUGUGCUCAGCACCUCUUCGUUUUGCAAAAGUGCAAAUUCACCAGCCUGUAAGCUAGACCCUUGGAGAGCCAGCAUUCAUAUUCCGACGAAGUAUUCGCCCCUCACUGUUCGAUUCACCUGAUUCAAUCAACUCCUUCAAUCCCAAAUUCCCCACCUUCUCUUCUUUCUCAACAUCCUCUUCUUCUUCCUCCUCC